ACACUGGCCACUCGUGGUCAGCACUCAUCUUCGAUUUUACAAGCAGAAAAUUCCAAUCAUUUGAUAACUGCAGUUUUCAACAUGCGGACGAGAUUCCUUAUGAUUUUCUUCUUGUUUUUGAUUCUUGGGACAUUAGCUCAAGAUGCAUAUGAUUCUCCGAGAAAAGUAAGGAAGGGCAAGAAGCCGGGAAGAAGGGUUUGCAACAAAUACUUUUGUCCCGCGCUUUGGCGUCUCUAAUAGAUUCAAGCAUGUGUUAAAAUAAAUGUAAAAGCCACGUUCAA